rnacentral:rRNA from 1 species
ACGUAGGAGGCGAGCGUUAUCCGGAUUUACUGGGCGUAAAGCGCGUGCAGGCGGUUCAGCAAGUUGGAUGUGAAAGCUCCCGGCUUAACUGGGAGAGGUCGUUCAAUACUACUGGACUAGAGAGUGGUAGAGGGAGGUGGAAUUCCGGGUGUAGUGGUGAAAUGCGUAGAGAUCCGGAGGAACCCCGGUGGCGAAGGCGACUUGCUGGGCCUGAACUGACGCUCAGACGCGAAAGCAUGGGGAGCGAACGG